AGGAUGAACGCUGGCGGUCUGCUUAACACAUGCAAGUCGAACGGAACCUUCGGGUUUAGUGGCGGACGGGUGAGUAAAGCGUGAGAAUCUGCCUCCAGGUCGGGGACAACAGCGGGAAACUGCUGCUAAUCCCGGAUGAGCCUAAGGGUAAAAGAUUUAUUGCCUGGAGAGGAGCUCGCGUCCGAUUAGCUAGUUGGUGAGGUAAGAGCUUACCAAGGCAACGAUCGGUAGCUGGUCUGAGAGGACGAUCAGCCACACUGGGACUGAGACACGGCCCAGACUCCUACGGGAGGCAGCAGUGGGGAAUUUUCCGCAAUGGGCGAAAGCCUGACGGAGCAAGACCGCGUGCGGGAGGAAGGCCCUUGGGUCGUAAACCGCUUUUCUUAGGGAAGAAGCUCUGACGGUACCUAAGGAAUCAGCCUCGGCUAACUCCGUGCCAGCAGCCGCGGUAAUACGGAGGAGGCAAGCGUUAUCCGGAAUUAUUGGGCGUAAAGCGUCCGCAGGCGGCUUACCAAGUCUGCUGUCAAAUACCAGAGCUCAACUCUGGGUCGGCGGUGGAAACUGGCAAGCUAGAGUACAGUAGGGGUAGAGGGAAUUCCCAGUGUAGCGGUGAAAUGCGUAGAGAUUGGGAAGAACACCGGUGGCGAAAGCGCUCUACUGGGCUGUAACUGACGCUGAGGGACGAAAGCUAGGGUAGCGAAAGGGAUUAGAUACCCCUGUAGUCUUAGCUGUAAACGAUGGAGACUAGGCGUGGCUUGUAUCGACCCGAGCCGUGCCGAAGCCAACGCGUUAAGUCUCCCGCCUGGGGAGUACGCACGCAAGUGUGAAAACUCAAGGAAUUGACGGGGGCCCGCACAAGCGGUGGAGUAUGUGGUUUAAUUCGAUGCAACGCGAAGAACCUUACCAAGGCUUGACAUCCCGCGA
rnacentral:rRNA from 1 species